CGGGCCGUCCGACCCGUCGCUGCGCCGCACGGCUUACGCCGCAGGCGGCGUAGAGCAAAGUCCGGACUCGCGAGGGCCAGGGGUACGUCCCCGGUCCGGAAAGGCCGCUCGGGCCAACAACCCGAGGGACGGGGCGGCGCAAGCCCCCCGUUACGUCAAGUGCAGCAGAGAGCAGACCAGCCGAUGGCCCGGAACUUUCGGGAACAGGUGAUGGGUGAAAGGGUGGGGUAAGAGCCCACCGGCGGUACCCCGCGAGGGGCCGGCCAGGUAAACUACCGGUGCGAGCAAGCCAAAUUGUCCCGGGGUAUCCUCGGGCUGGUAGGCGCGGCUCCUCUUAGAGGAGCCCGGGAGGAGAUCUCCCGGAGAUGGAUGACGGGAUAGAGCAGAAUCCGGCUUACGGGACGGCCCAAACC
rnacentral:RNase_P_RNA from 1 species